AUGUAGAGUCUGCUUAAUCCGACAGAAGUCGGAGCGGAGGACCCAAAUUUUGGGGCUAACCGUUCUCACGGGGGAAAUCUCUCUUUCCUAGCCCGUCAGCUAACUUCGUAAGCAUGGAGAGAAGACAG
rnacentral:sRNA from 2 species